UACGUAGGGGGCAAGCGUUGUCCGGAUUUAUUGGCGUAAAGAGCGUGUAGGCGGCUUUACAGGUCCGUUGUGAAACUCGAGGCUCAACCCUCGAGACGCCGGUGGAAACCGUAAGGCUAGAGUCCGGAAGAGGUGAGUGGAAUUCCGAGUGUAGAGGUGAAAUUCGUAGAUAGUUCGGAAGGAACACCAGUGGCGAAGGCGGCUCACUGGUCC
rnacentral:rRNA from 1 species